AUUGAACGCUGGCGGCAGGCCUAACACAUGCAAGUCGAGCGGAUGAGGGGAGCUUGCUCCUGGAUUCAGCGGCGGACGGGUGAGUAAUGCCUAGGAAUCUGCCUGGUAGUGGGGGAUAACGUCCGGAAACGGGCGCUAAUACCGCAUACGUCCUGAGGGAGAAAGUGGGGGAUCUUCGGACCUCACGCUAUCAGAUGAGCCUAGGUCGGAUUAGCUAGUUGGUGGGGUAAAGGCCUACCAAGGCGACGAUCCGUAACUGGUCUGAGAGGAUGAUCAGUCACACUGGAACUGAGACACGGUCCAGACUCCUACGGGAGGCAGCAGUGGGGAAUAUUGGACAAUGGGCGAAAGCCUGAUCCAGCCAUGCCGCGUGUGUGAAGAAGGUCUUCGGAUUGUAAAGCACUUUAAGUUGGGAGGAAGGGCAGUAAGUUAAUACCUUGCUGUCUUGACGUUACCAACAGAAUAAGCACCGGCUAACUUCGUG
rnacentral:rRNA from 1 species